CUGGGAAAUGUAGUAAAGAAGUGAUGAUCCAGGCAGGAAAUGACAUAGCAGGGAGACUCAUACAUAAACAAGGGAAGAAGGAAGUGGGCCCCUUCUCUCUUCCUCCAGAGUCACCAUGUGAUCCCGGGAUGAGGACGCCAAUGGCAGGUGUCUGAUAAGGAUUUUCCUCAGAACUCACAGCAAAAUUUAGUGAGAACAUGCAGCCAUGAGCUCUAAAUGAUGCGUGCGGUGUGCCAUUCGUCUCCCAGUGCGAGCAUCACAUACAUCUGAGGACUGCAGCUCAGAGCGGGAAAGCCUACGCUUCCUAGAACAUCACCUUCAUCUCUGCUGUAAUGCCCCCGAUGAAUAAUGUAAAAGAAAAUCAGCGCUCCUUACUGGAAGCCAUUUUACACGACAGGAUGGAAAAUCCAUCAGAUUUCAGGCUCUGUUGCUUCGACGAAACCUUGUGGUCACCGACGUUACACCGGGAUGGAGAUGACUGGCAUUGCCUUUACAUUGUGUUGGAAGAGCAGAGAAUUAUGUCUUGGUCUCAGUGUUGCUGGAGAAUGAAUGCUGAGACUGAGUUUACUGAAGACCCUGCUCCUCCUAUCUUUUAUACCUCUCUAGUGCUGGGAUUAAAGGCAUGUGAUACCAAGUGCUGAGAUCAUCUUUGUGUGAGCUGUUUCUCUCAGCACCGG
rnacentral:lncRNA from 1 species